AGAUUGAACGCUGGCGGCAUGCCUUACACAUGCAAGUCGAACGGCAGCACGGGGGCAACCCUGGUGGCGAGUGGCGAACGGGUGAGUAACGCAUCGGAAUGUACCCAGUAGUGGGGGAUAACUAGUCGAAAGAUUAGCUAAUACCGCAUACGCACUGAGGUGGAAAGCGGGGGAUCGCAAGACCUCGCGCUAUUGGAGCAGCCGAUGUCCGAUUAGGUAGUUGGUGGGGUAAAGGCCUACCAAGCCUGCGAUCGGUAACUGGUCUGAGAGGACGACCAGUCACACUGGGACUGAGACACGGCCCAGACUCCUACGGGAGGCAGCAGUGGGGAAUUUUGGACAAUGGGCGCAAGCCUGAUCCAGCAAUGCCGCGUGUGUGAAGAAGGCCUUCGGGUUGUAAAGCACUUUUGGCGGGAGCGAAACGGCGUUUGCUAAUACCAGACGCUAAUGACGGUACCCGCAGAAUAAGCACCGGCUAACUACGUG
rnacentral:rRNA from 1 species